GAGGUCCAGCCUGCCCAGUGACCGCAAGUUUAACGGCCGCGGUAUUUUGACCGUGCAAAGGUAGCGCAAUCACUUGUCUUUUAAAUAAAGACCUGUAUGAAUGGCUAAACGAGGGCUUAACUGUCUCCCAUUUCAAGUCAGUGAAAUUGAUCUGCCCGUGCAGAAGCGGGUAUAGUUAUACAAGACGAGAAGACCCUUUGGAGCUUAAGGCGUAAAACUCAACCACGUCAAGCGACUCAAUAAAAAGCAAUUUUUUAAACAUUGUGGUAAAUGAGACCACUGCCUUCGGUUGGGGCGACCAUGGAGGAAAAAUAAGCCUCCAAGUGGAAUGGGGAAACCCCCUAAAACCAAGAGAGACAUCUCUAAGCUACAGAACAUCUGACCAUAAAUGAUCCGGCUAACCAAGACCGACCAACGAACCAAGUUACCCUAGGGAUAACAGCGCAAUCCUCUCCCAGAGUCCAUAUCGACGAGGGGGUUUACGACCUCGAUGUUGGAUCAGGACAUCCUAAUGGUGCAGCCGCUAUUAAGGG
rnacentral:rRNA from 1 species